CCACCCCACUUUCUCCUCUUUGCUUAAUAAGCCCAGAAGCAAGUUUAUAUAUUCAUUUUUAUAUCAAAGUGCACAUCAAAAUGAUCAUUACCUCCAUCAGAAGCCAUGGUCUCCACUCCAUAUUGUCUCCUGCUGGUUCUGCUGGGACUCUCCAGCCUUCAGUCCAGCACAAUGGCACGAAAUGCAAAUGGGAAAACUAAUUCUGCUUUGAAUUUCAUAAAAGACCAUUCCCUGCAGCAAAUGUUGUCUCGUUCAUACAAACAAGAAUUGACUGAACAGUUCCUGGAGUCAUUUUUACUACAACAAAGGGUUUUCGUUUUUGUGUGGACCCUGAGGUGGACUGGGUGAAGAAGAUCAUCGAAAGUAAAACGUAAUCCUAAACAUCUGUCCAUAAGUUAUCUUUAUUUUGCAGAAUGCUUAUUUUUA